AAAAGUAGUGAUUAAGAUCUAAAAAAUACUUUAUGGUUAUUUUUAUUAUUAACUCAAGGCAUAGAUUUAAUGGAAAAAACAAAUAAAAUUUGAAAAAUCUAAGUAUCAAUCAAGAUUUUUAAAAGUAGUUUUUGUACAAAAUAACAAGUAUUAGUAUGUAUAAAAAAAUUAAAAAUGAUAACAAAAAACAAAUUAAAUCAAAGAAAAAAAGAAAGUAGAAAAUAAAGGAGGCAUGGGUGAAAGCCUGUUAUAGGGUGUAAUAAGGAAAUAUGGCUUGGGCUUGGGAAAUAAGCUACAAGAAAA
rnacentral:lncRNA from 1 species